rnacentral:rRNA from 1 species
CCUACGGGCGGCAGCAGUGGGGGGUAUUGCGCAAUGGGCGGAAGCCUGACGCAGCGACGCCGCGUGAGGGACGGAGGCCUUCGGGUUGUGAACCUCUUUCGCCGGUGGAGAAGGCGCCCCCGUGUGGGGUGCUGACUGUAGCCGGGUUAAGAAGCGCCGGCUAACUACGUGCCAGCAGCCGCGGUAAUACGUAGGGCGCGAGCGUUGUCCGGAGUUACUGGGCGUAAAGGGCUUGUAGGCGGCCGGUCGCGUCCGCCGUGAAAUCCCCUGGCUCAACCGGGGGCGUGCGGUGGGUACGGGCCGGCUGGAGUGCGGUAGGGGAGGCUGGAACUCCUGGUGUAGCGGUGGAAUGCGCAGAUAUCAGGAAGAACACCGGUGGCGAAGGCGGGUCUCUGGGCCGUUACUGACGCUGAGGAGCGAGAGCGUGGGGAGCGAACAGGAUUAGAUACCCCUGUAGUC